rnacentral:rRNA from 1 species
UUUUUUAUUGAAAAAUGAGAAUGAAGGUGRAUUUGAAGGUAAUUUUGUUAAAUUAURAUAAAAUGAUUGAAGCUCUAGGACAUGUACACAUCGCCCGUCGCUCUCGUUAUUAAGAUGAGAUAAGUCGUAACAUAGUAGUCGUACUGGAAAGUGUGGCUAGAAAGUCAA